rnacentral:rRNA from 1 species
GACGAACGCUGGCGGCGUGGAUUAGGCAUGCAAGUCGAACGGUAUCAUCCUUUCGGGGGUGAGAGAGUGGCGAACUGGUGAGUAACACGUAGGUUAUCUACCCUCAAGACGGGGACAACCCAGGGAAACUUGGGCUAAUACCGGAUGUGAGCAACUUUUUAGUUGUUUGAAAGGUGGCGUAAGCUGUCGCUUGGGGAUGAGCCUGCGUCCUAUUAGUUAGUUGGUGAGGUAACGGCUCACCUAGGCAAUGAUAGGUAGGCGGCCUUAACGGGUGGUCGCCCACACUGGGAUUGAGAUACGGCCCAGACUCCUACGGGAGGCAGCAGUCGAGAAUAGUCUACAAUGGUCGGAAGACUGAUAGUGCGACGCCGCGUGAACGAUGAAUCCCUUCGGGGUGUAAAGUUCUUUUAUAUGUGAGCAGUGCUUCUUAUAUUAAGAGUAUGGGGAGAGAGAUAUUAGCAUAUGAAUAAGCAACGGCUAACUCCGUGCCAGCAGCCGCGGUAACACGGGGGUUGCGAGCGUUGUCCGGAAUACUAGGCGUAAAGGGCAGCAGGCGGAUCCAUAAGUUUAUCGUUUAAG